GGGCCAAUAGCACUAAGGCUGGAGAAAGCCGUCUUCCUGGGAACCCCCAGAAGGCUGCCGCCGCGUCUUUAACGCCUCUGUCACCGCCGGUCCUGUGGAGCGCGCUUUUCGGGAAAAGUCCCAAUCAAGAUAGUGGAGAGAGACCCGCAGCCCUCCUCUCCAUCUGCCAGCUUUGGAUAUUUCUUCCUUCUCCACACAUCUAGCCUGUGUCCUGAGCCCCAGCAUCAGCUUCUGUUCUGGGUUGGAAUGUGGACCCAGGGCACUGGCUGCACGAGUAGGGAGGAGAGCAGGACUUGCACCAAGUUGCCUCAUUCCCCAAAGUGUGAAUACUCACUCACCAGCGCUGCCCGCACCUUCUGGCCCACCAGGCCAUCAGUGUUUGGAGUCUUGGACCUAAUACAUGAGAAGGUAAUGCCAGCUCAGCUUGGAGUACUUCGGGGAGAAUAAGACAUCCACCAAAAGGAGGGCUUUUCUGCCAGGACCUAACACACCAGUGCUCUGGACCACAGACCUCUGUUCAGAGAGACACUGGCCAAGGAUGGAAUCACCACUUCAGCUGUUGGCAGCUUACCUUCCAGACUGUCAAGUAUGCUUUUUGCUGUCUGCAUCUCUUGGAGUAGUGUUAUUGUCUACUUACCCAUCAGUAUCAACAAGGAGACUUAGAACCAAAAUUAGAGAUCUGGCUUGACUGUAUUUUAUUUUCUAUCAAGUAUAUGGGGGAACCUGUACUUCCAUGAUGUUGCCAAGGAGAGAGACUUACCAGGUGUUGUAAUGCCGUGUGCGUUGUACGCCCACCUUAAAAUACCACCAGAGACGCAAGUCAAAGCCAAACAGCAAGGGUCGAUUAUUAUGAGUUCGCACCCGGACCUCCACGCACUCGUUGCCGGUGACGCUGAGAGAUCCCAAGCAGAGUAAAUGCAGGGUUUUUAUAAGCAGGAUUGUUAUAGGAUUGUUAUUUUACUCUGAUGCUUUUGCAAAAGUGUUUUGUCUUCAGAAAGAUUCAUAGAAUGGACUUUGCUGGUAAUUUUAAGAUCAUAAAACUGAACCAGGUAAGAAUCACCAGAACUAAUGGUCAAACUGACCUGCUCAAACUGACUUGCUAAAUCCUGGACUAGAAAGCCAAUUAAAUCAGGAACUCAGUGCAAAGAAAAUGGAGCUCAGGGCAGAAAGGGGAUCUACCUAUGGCCCUUGGAAACCACGAGAAAGACUGCAAACUCAAAAGGUUUAUGGGAUACCGCACCUGUUUCUUGUUAUCUCUGAAGCCACCAGAAGCCUCCUUCAGUCCAACCACUGCCACCACAUCUGUUAAACAAUAAAAAUGCAACCAAAGACCCAUGCAGGAGAGGGGAUUCUGGUCCAAAGUCUCAUUCUAGCUGACUUCUGCCAGUUUCCCCAGGACCCUAUCUAUCUGCAGGCUCCGAAUAGGCUUUAAAGAAGAGGAUGCAACUCUGCUAUUUACCAGAAGUUGGCAAGGUAUUUCAUUAAUGUUAAUUUUAUUUUUCCUGGGCUCAGAAAAUCUCCGGGUCCUAUCAACUCUGAGAGGAACCCACACAGGGGCCCUCCUUUGGGGAUAGACGUGAGGAUGUCCAUUAAGCCACAAACAGGGUGGACUCCGGUUUACAGUCUCAUAGAGGCAAUUCAGACCAAGAAUUAGAAGAGCUGAGUAUUCAAAGAAAGGAAGGUGGAGGGGGGCAGGAGGAGGGAUGUCAGGCUUCCGGUCUUUUGUUUUAGGUACCUCUUAAGUCUUCAGUUUUCCUUAGCCUUUUGUAACAAACCUGCCAAUGAAUCUGCUCAGGAAUUUCGAAGCCCUUUGGAGGCUUCUGCAUGCCAAUUAAAGUAGUUAUCCCAUUCUGGUCUGUGGAUUUGGGAACCCUUGCUUUCAAGUGCAUCUCCUCAUUGAUCUUCUCUGAUUGGAACAUGCCUCAGAACAGCUGUUGUAAUCCUCCCUGAGGGCUGGCAGCAGCUUGCUGGGACCCUUAGCCACAAACUGAGUUCACCCCACAUUUCUGUGGGGUGCAACCUGCAUUUCUGUCCAGCCACAUUUUGGGGGAGGGUCCCCCACUCUGACAGUUACCAAGCCAAGUUCUUGGAACACAAAAUUCUAGGCUUUCUUUAAUCAAAUUGUGGCCAUUUCCACAGAUCUUUAGAGCUUCUGGGAGCAUAGUUUUUAAGCAGGUGUGGUGGAAGGGGGCAUCCGGAACUCUUUAGAAUUUUAAGGAUCCCAUUUAUUUCUCUGACUAAGCCUUUGAGUUUCUUUUUCUUUUUUUUUAAUUAAUUAAUUUAUUUAUUUAUUUGACAGAGAGAGAUCACAGUAGGAGAGAGGAAGGGAAGAGAUCACAGAGGAAGGGAAGCAGGCCCCCUGCUGAGCAGAGAGCCCGAUGUGGGACUCAAUCCCAGGACCCUGAGAUCAUGACCUGAGCCAAAGGCAGCGGCUUAACCACCUGAGCCACCCAGGCACCCCAGCCUUUGAGUUUCUUAAAGCCAAACUGACCCCUAAGAGGGACGUGCCAUGGGCUCAGAGGUUGCAUGGUAUUUUACAAUGUACCUCAUUGCAUGGAAAUUUUCUUGAGGUCAGUGGGUGACCUAGUAUUACUCUAACCGAUCACUGUUGCCUCCGUAGCCAGAAUUAGAGGACCCAGGAACCAAGGGGUAGAAAUAGAGGCACCACUCAGUAUUACCCCUAGAGCCCCACCAGCAAAAUGUUCGCUUCUGGUUCCCAUAACCUCAUGUUCUGCUGGCCCAGGGGCCUUGAGUUCCAGGGGGCAGAAUGCUUCCAUCUGGAGACACAGCAGUAAUUACCCUGAACUGGAGGUUCACAUGGCCACUUUGGACUCCUCCUGCCUCCGAAUCGACAGGUGAAGAAGGGAGUUACUGUGCUGGCCUAGGUGGCUGAUCUGGAGUACCACCGAGGGGAAAGUAGACAGCCACUCCACAGUGGACAUAGGGGACCUCUCCGGAUGUGUGUCAUAUCACCAACUCCUGUGAUUAAGGUAAAUGGAAGAGUACAACUGUCCAGUCCCGCCAGGACCAACGAUGGCUUACAGUAUUUAUGUUACAGGAUGUCAAGGAGAAGCAUAAACAUCACUCAAAAAACAUCCCCUCCUCCUCUGGGGAAGGGGUUAGUGAGGUUUUGGUUGUAUACAGGAUACUAGUAUCACAUGAAGUAUGACCUUCUUAUUGCCUUCAUAUAGAGCAUAUGAAGCAUAUAGAGUAUGGCUUAAGGAGAUGGUUAUGGGUGCCAAGUAGAUAAGGGGUGACCUGGUGAUGUUUAAUUGUAUAUGUCAACUUGACAAGGGCCCGGGGUGCCCAGACAUCUGACCAGAUGUAAUUCUGGGUGUGUCUGUGUAAGUGUUUCUGUAAGGACCUAUUUUAUAUUUUUAUUUUAGCCAGAGGCUUCCAUUGAGGUUAAACAAUAACUUUGUUGUUUAACCUUUAAACUGUCCCUGCUCCCCUUCCCCCAGGGGACUUAAAAACAAGUCCCAGAAACCAGCUCCAGGUGUGGAGGCCAAGAAAAACAAGGCUGUACCCACCUGAGUCUAGCCCUGACCUAGGUACAGCCAUCUUGGCAAAGCAAAAGCUGGCACCUUGCUCUGUAAGAGUGGGUUAGCAUAAGAAUGGCCAUCCUGAGGGCCUGGAAGCCAUUUUACUGAGUGUCCCUAACAGGCUGGCAGUUAGGUGGUGGCACCACAGGGACCAAAUGUUAAAGAAAAGCAAAUAGUUAACUUGCAGAGAUCACAAUCCUGCAAGACAGGAGUCUCCCUUGGUUUGCAGGGGCUUUACAACAAAAAGGAUUAUCUCUUCAGUGGCCCAAUUUCCAGAGACAAAUGGCUCAGUUCCUCAAGGCCUAAGGUCGCCCUCCCCACCAUAAAACUGAAGGAGGCUGAGGCAGAAGGAAAUAUAAAUAAAGUUAAAUUUCUUCUAAACCUAAAUCACACUUAACCGCCAGGAUGGCUCCAGGGUGACGCCGGGGUGGCAAAAUGUUAAACAAAGUUAAACUGUCAAAGUGGGGCCCAAGAUAUGUAUGUAGCUAUGAAAAAGUGCCUUGAAAAUGCUAUACAAACCCUUGGCUUGUGUGCUCGGGGUCCUUGUUGAAACUCGCUGUGCCGGGCAGAUACUUGGACCCCAGCUAGCUGGAAAUAAACCUCGCUGUGUGACUUGCAUUAUCGAGAGUGUUCUCUGUCUAAUUGAGGGGUGGUCAGCUCCGUUCCCUAGCAUUUCCAGGGGAGAUUCACAUUUGAGUUGGUAGGCUGAAUAAAGCAGAUUGCUAUCCUUAAUGUAAGCAGUCUUCAUCCAAUCAACAGAAGGCCUAGACAGGACAAAAAAGCCUACCCUCCCCUCUUUGA